GACGAACGCUGGCGGCGUGCUUAACACAUGCAAGUCGAACGGUGACGCUGGAGCUUGCUCCAGCUGAUCAGUGGCGAACGGGUGAGUAACACGUGAGCAACCUGCCCUUGACUCUGGGAUAACCCCGGGAAACCGGAGCUAAUACCGGAUACGAACCGCACAGGCAUCUGCGUGGUUGGAAAGAUUUAUCGGUCAAGGAUGGGCUCGCGGCCUAUCAGCUUGUUGGUGGGGUAACGGCCCACCAAGGCGACGACGGGUAGCCGGCCUGAGAGGGCGACCGGCCACACUGGGACUGAGACACGGCCCAGACUCCUACGGGAGGCAGCAGUGGGGAAUAUUGCACAAUGGGCGAAAGCCUGAUGCAGCGACGCCGCGUGAGGGACGAAGGCCUUCGGGUUGUAAACCUCUUUCAGCAGGGAAGAAGCGAAAGUGACGGUACCUGCAGAAGAAGCACCGGCUAACUACGUGCCAGCCGCCGCGGUAACAC
rnacentral:rRNA from 1 species